rnacentral:rRNA from 1 species
UACGUAGGGGGCCAGCGUUGUCCGGAAUCAUUGGGCGUAAAGAGCGCGUAGGCGGCCCUGUAAGUCCGUUGUGAAAGUCAAGGGCUCAACCCUUGAAUGCCGGUGGAUACUGCAGGGCUAGAGUCCGGAAGAGGCGAGUGGAAUUCCUGGUGUAGCGGUGAAAUGCGCAGAUAUCAGGAGGAACACCGAUGGCGAAGGCAGCUCGCUGGGACGGUACUGACGCUGAGGCGCGAAAGCUAGGGGAGCAAACAGG